GAUGAACGCUAGCGGCAGGCUUAACACAUGCAAGUCGAGGGGCAGCAUAAAUAGUAGCAAUACUAUUGGUGGCGACCGGCGGACGGGUGCGUAACGCGUAUACAACCUUCCCUAAACAGGGGGAUAAUCUGGAGAAAUUCGGUCUAAUACCCCAUAACAUCAGAGCAGGCAUCUGUUUUGGUUAAAAUUUCCGGAGGUGUAGGAUGGGUAUGCGUAGAAUUAGCUAGUUGGUGAGGUAACGGCUCACCAAGGCGACGAUGCUUAGGGGGACUGAGAGGUUAACCCCCCACACUGGUACUGAGACACGGACCAGACUCCUACGGGAGGCAGCAGUGAGGAAUAUUGGUCAAUGGGCGGAAGCCUGAACCAGCCAUGCCGCGUGCAGGAUGACGGCUCUAUGAGUUGUAAACUGCUUUUGUACGAGGGUAAAGUGGGCUACGUGUAGCCUUUUGAAAGUAUCGUACGAAUAAGGAUCGGCUAACUCCGUGCCAGCCGCCGCAGUAA
rnacentral:rRNA from 1 species